rfam:Frondihabitans sp. Leaf304 contig_3, whole genome shotgun sequence.
GGUCAAGUUUUUAAGAGCAAACGGUGGAUGCCUUGGCAUCUGGAGCCGAAGAAGGACGUAGAAAUCUGCGAUAAGCCUCGGGGAGCUGAUAAUCGAGCUGUGAUCCGAGGGUGUCCGAAUGGGGAAACCCCGCCAGGCGGCGUGCUGACCUGGUGACUCCCGCCUGAAUAUAUAGGGCGGGUAGAGGGAACGGGGGGAAGUGAAACAUCUCAGUACCCUCAGGAAGAGAAAACAACAGUGAUUCCGUGAGUAGUGGCGAGCGAAAUCGGAAGAGGCUAAACCGGUCAUGUGUGAUAGACGGCGGUCGUUGCAUGGUCGGGGUUGUGGGACGUGUUGUUCAGUUCUGCCGGACUGGAACAGUUACAGCGCAUUAUAGGCGAACCGGAUUGAAAGCCGGGUCAUAGAGGGUGCCAACCCCGUAGCCGAAAUGGUGUUGCUGGCUGAAUGCGUAUCCCAAGUAGCACGGGGCCCGAGAAAUCCCGUGUGAAUCUGUCAGGACCACCUGAUAAGCCUAAAUACUCCCAGAUGACCGAUAGCGGACAAGUACCGUGAGGGAAAGGUGAAAAGUACCCCGGGAGGGGAGUGAAAUAGUACCUGAAACCGUUUGCUUACAAACCGUUGGAGCCUCCUUAGUAGGGGUGACAGCGUGCCUUUUGAAGAAUGAGCCUGCGAGUUAGCGAUAUGUGGCGAGGUUAACCCGUGAGGGGUAGCCGUAGCGAAAGCGAGUCUGAAUAGGGCGAUUCAGUCGCAUGUCCUAGACCCGAAGCGAAGUGAUCUAUCCAUGGCCAGGUUGAAGCGACGGUAAGACGUCGUGGAGGACCGAACCCACUUCAGUUGAAAAUGGAGGGGAUGAGCUGUGGAUAGGGGUGAAAGGCCAAUCAAACUUCGUGAUAGCUGGUUCUCUCCGAAAUGCAUUUAGGUGCAGCGUUGCGUGUUUCUUGCCGGAGGUAGAGCUACUGGAUGGCCGAUGGGGCCUAAAAGCUUACUGACGUCAGCCAAACUCCGAAUGCCGGUAAGUGAGAGCGCAGCAGUGAGACGGUGGGGGAUAAGCUUCAUCGUCGAGAGGGAAACAACCCAGACUACCAACUAAGGUCCCUAAGCGUGUGCUAAGUGGGAAAGGAUGUGGAGUUGCAGAGACAACCAGGAGGUUGGCUUAGAAGCAGCCACCCUUGAAAGAGUGCGUAAUAGCUCACUGGUCAAGUGAUUCCGCGCCGACAAUGUAACGGGGCUCAAGCACACCACCGAAGUUGUAGAAUUCGUACUUUCGAUAAGCCUUCGUGGUUCAGUCGUACGGAUUGGUAGGAGAGCGUCGUGUGGCGAGUGAAGCGGCGGUGGAAACCAGCCGUGGACGCCACACGAGUGAGAAUGCAGGCAUGAGUAGCGAAAGACGGGUGAGAAACCCGUCCUCCGAAAGACCAAGGGUUCCAGGGCCAGGUUAAUCCGCCCUGGGUAAGUCGGGACCUAAGGCGAGGCCGACAGGCGUAGUCGAUGGACAACGGGUUGAUAUUCCCGUACCGGCGAAGAACCGCCCAAGAUAAUCCAGUGGUGCUAAGAGUCCUAACCCGGCUGAGUGGAUCCCUUCGGGGUGAUGCCGGCCGGUCUAACGCUCGACCCCAUGCUGGUGCGUUUAGCGUAUUAACAGGUGUGACGCAGGAAGGUAGCUGAGCCAGGCGAUGGUAUCCGUAAGGUGAUCCUGGUGUAAGGAUGUAGGGCUGACGAUAGGCAAAUCCGUCGUCAAUGAUGCCUGAGACCCGAUGCAUACCCCGAUUGGGGGAAUUCAGUGAUCCUAUGCUGCCGAGAAAAGCAUCGACGCGAGGUUCAAGCCGCCCGUACCCCAAACCGACUCAGGUGGUCAGGUAGAGAAUACCAAGGAGAUCGAGAGAAUCGUGGUUAAGGAACUCGGCAAAAUGCCCCCGUAACUUCGGGAGAAGGGGGGCCGGAACCGUGAACGGAUUUACUCCGGGAGCGGGGAAGGCCGCAGAGACCAGUGGGAAGCGACUGUUUACUAAAAACACAGGUCCGUGCCAAGUCGCAAGACGAUGUAUACGGACUGACGCCUGCCCGGUGCUGGAAGGUUAAGAGGAAGGGUUAGCGCAAGCGAAGCUCAGAAUUUAAGCCCCAGUAAACGGCGGUGGUAACUAUAACCAUCCUAAGGUAGCGAAAUUCCUUGUCGGGUAAGUUCCGACCUGCACGAAUGGCGUAACGACUUCCCAGCUGUCUCAACCGCGAACUCGGCGAAAUUGCACUACGAGUAAAGAUGCUCGUUACGCGCAGCAGNNNNNGGGAGACUGUGAAGCUUGGACGCUAGUUCAGGUGGAGUCAUCGUUGAAAUACCACUCUGGUCACUUUGGAUAUCUAACUACGAACCGUGAUCCGGUUCUGGGACAGUGCCUGGUGGGUAGUUUAACUGGGGCGGUUGCCUCCCAAAAAGUAACGGAGGCGCCCAAAGGUUCCCUCAACCUGGUUGGCAAUCAGGUGUCGAGUGUAAGUGCACAAGGGAGCUUGACUGUGAGACUGACAAGUCGAGCAGGGACGAAAGUCGGGACUAGUGAUCCGGCAGUGGCUUGUGGAAGCGCUGUCGCUCAACGGAUAAAAGGUACCUCGGGGAUAACAGGCUGAUCUUGCCCAAGAGUCCAUAUCGACGGCAUGGUUUGGCACCUCGAUGUCGGCUCGUCGCAUCCUGGGGCUGGAGUAGGUCCCAAGGGUUGGGCUGUUCGCCCAUUAAAGCGGUACGCGAGCUGGGUUUAGAACGUCGUGAGACAGUUCGGUCCCUAUCCGCUGCGCGCGUAGGAAAUUUGAGAAG